rnacentral:lncRNA from 1 species
CGGCUAGGAUGAAAUUUGAAAAAAAUAGGCAGGACAGGAGUUUUGAGUAAAAAAAAAAGAAGGCAGGAUGAGACAAUUGCCAAAAAAAAGUCAGGAUAAACUAAAAAAAAAAAGCAGGACCAAACAGAGUGAAAAAUAAAAAGGCAGGACAGAGAUUACAGCUAAAAAAAAAUGCAGGACAAAAUUUUUCAUCCUAGCCCCCCCCCCC